rnacentral:lncRNA from 1 species
GAGAAAUGGCUUCGACAGGUUUAUGCCAGAGAAGUACGACACAUAUCUAGCUACAUUUAAGGAUUAUGUA